rnacentral:rRNA from 1 species
AGUGAACGCUGGCGGUAGGCCUAACACAUGCAAGUCGAACGGCAGCACAGUAAGAGCUUGCUCUUACGGGUGGCGAGUGGCGGACGGGUGAGGAAUACAUCGGAAUCUACUUUUUCGUGGGGGAUAACGUAGGGAAACUUACGCUAAUAUCGCAUACGACCUACGGGUGAAAGCAGGGGAUCUUCGGACCUUGCGCGAUGAAUGAGCCGAUGUCGGAUUAGCUAGUUGGCGGGGUAAAGGCCCACCAAGGCGACGAUCCGUAGCUGGUCUGAGAGGAUGAUCAGCCACACUGGAACUGAGACACGGUCCAGACUCCUACGGGAGGCAGCAGUGGGGAAUAUUGGACAAUGGGCGCAAGCCUGAUCCAGCCAUACCGCGUGGGUGAAGAAGGCCUUCGGGUUGUAAAGCCCUUUUGUUGGGAAAGAAAAGCAGCAGGUUAAUACCCCGCUGUUCUGACGGUACCCAAAGAAUAGCACCGGCUAACUUCGUG